rnacentral:pre_miRNA from 11 species
AACCGCACGGGAUAAUCAUUUAUCCCGUGCGAUCGUGUUAAGUAGAUCGCACGAGAUAAUAGAUUAUCCCGUGCGGUC